rnacentral:rRNA from 1 species
GAAUAUUGGACAAUGGGGGCAACCCUGAUCCAGCAAUGCCGCGUGUGUGAAGAAGGCCCUCGGGUCGUAAAGCUCUUUAGGUUGGGAAGAAGGGUAUUAGGUGAAUAGCCUAGUACUUUGACGGUACCGACAGAAUAAGCACCGGCAAACUCUGUGCCAGCAGCCGCGGUAAUACAGAGGGUGCGAGCGUUAAUCGGAUUUACUGGGCGUAAAGGGCGCGUAGGCGGUUCUAUGAGUGUGAUGUGAAAGCCCUGGGCUUAACCUAGGAAGUGCAUCGCAAACGAUAGGACUGGAGUAUAUGAGAGGGUGGUGGAAUUUCCGGUGUAGCGGUGAAAUGCGUAGAUAUCGGAAGGAACGUCGAUGGCGAAGGCAGCCACCUGGCAUAAUACUGACGCUGAGGCGCGAAAGCGUGGGGAUCAAACAGG